rnacentral:rRNA from 1 species
UACGUAGGUGGCAAGCGUUGUCCGGAUUUAUUGGGUUUAAAGGGUGCGUAGGCGGUUCAAUAAGUCAGUGGUGAAAUACGGCAGCUCAACUGUCGAGGUGCCAUUGAUACUGUAGAACUUGAGUACAGACGAGGUAGGCGGAAUUGACGGUGUAGCGGUGAAAUGCUUAGAUAUCGUCAAGAACACCGAUAGCGAAGGCAGCUUACUAGACUGUAACUGACGCUGAGGCACGAAAGUGUGGGGAUCAAACAGG